rfam:Myotis brandtii contig211490, whole genome shotgun sequence.
CUCGGGGGAGGGGGUGUCCCUCAGCCUGGAUUGUGAGAGGGCACAGGCCAGGCCAAGGGACCCCACCAGUGCAUG